UGGCCCAGCCAACCCACGUUCCCCUUGGCCAGACCCACCUAAAACAGACUCAAUGCAACGCAACCCCCCUCAAAAUCUUCAGCCCCCGGCAGGUAGUCAGCGUGGGAAAUUCCAGCCCAGAUUGUUUGGGAAAUGAGCCGCUGAGGACAGGCUCGUCUUGGAAGUGCCAUAACACCAGUACAACUCUGCUUGUAGGUUGUAAUAUACAGACAGGCCCAGAGACUGACUCUUCUUUCAUUUGCACCCCUGUCACUUCAGCCGGGGUUCUCCCAGUUUGCCCCUAAGUGAGAGGAGAAGCAGGAUUUACAGCCAGCUGACAUAAGAAAGGCCAGACUGGGUCAGACUAAUGGUCCACAUAGCCCAGUGUCCUGUCCUCUGACAGUGACCAACACCAGGUGCUUCAGAGGGAAUGAACAGAACAGGGAAUCAUCCAGAUGUCACACGGAUGGUACCUGAAAAAUACCUAGGGCGAGAUCCUCUGAUCGGUCCAAGUGUUCUGCAAUCCUCAACCCUAAUGGCUGCUCCCUCUUCCUCCCAGGUGAGCUUGGAAUGGAUUAAUCCCAUUUUGCGGGGGAGUCAAAUGAGGCAUUAAGUGACUUUCACAUGGAAUCCGUGUGGCAGAAUCAGCAAUAGAACCUAGCAGUUCCUGACUCCCAGUCUAUCCCCUUCUCUAACCACCAGACCCCACGCCUCCUCCCACAAACUGGGAAUAGAACCCUGGAGUCCUGGAUUCUAGUCCCCUUCUCUAACCUCCAGCCAACACACUCACACUAGAUCUCACAAAGGCAUUGACUAUGUCUACAUGGGUUUCUUUUUUACUUGGAGGAAUCCUAGUGUCAUAAACUAGGGAUUUUAAGCAUUAACUCCUUUAGGAAAUAUUUCCCCUGAAAUACCCAUGACCUCUGGUUUCCGCUUCUUUCCUACUCAGUGAGGCUGCAGCCCGAUUGUACGUAGGAAUUUGGAGAACCAUUUCUGGGAAAGGGGGAGAACGUGACUUUGUAACAUCCCCGGGCAUUACUGCUCUGCCACCGCUGAUCACAUUCCGUGCUCUGAGCACCUGUCAGGGGUUAGCAGGUGGCUCCUGGGAGGUUCAUCUUUCUGUCUUUUAGCUCUACAAAGCUAGAAUUUCCACUUGACGUCAGCCAAGGACUGUGCGUUCCUCCCCGGCAGUUCUAUUGAAUUUUUGCUAAUUGCAAGACCUGACCGGAAUAUUCUACCAGAAAACAUGGACAGUUUCCUCAAAAAGCCUGUUAGUUUCACUUGCAAUUCUCCUUUUAACUGCAGUGAAGUCUAGAUUUUUGUGCCAAAUGCUUCUUUUAUUGUGGGCGUCGUGCAUAAGUGGGAUUCUUUUGGGGGGAGGUGAUGGGAGAAGGAGAGACAGGGCAGGAAUGGGACAGGUUCUGAACAUACUUGAGUUCAAAUUCUUUAUUCUCUGCUAUGAAAUGCUCCUGCUACUUCCUGGUUCAGAACACAUCGCCCUGUGACAGCCAUGAAUGACAAU